GACGAACGCUGGCGGCGUGCUUAACACAUGCAAGUCGAGCGGAAAGGCCCUGCUUUUGUGGGGUGCUCGAGUGGCGAACGGGUGAGUAACACGUGAGUAACCUGCCCUUGACUUUGGGAUAACUUCAGGAAACUGGGGCUAAUACCGGAUAGGAGCUCCUGCUGCAUGGUGGGGGUUGGAAAGUUUCGGCGGUUGGGGAUGGACUCGCGGCUUAUCAGCUUGUUGGUGGGGUAGUGGCUUACCAAGGCUUUGACGGGUAGCCGGCCUGAGAGGGUGACCGGCCACAUUGGGACUGAGAUACGGCCCAGACUCCUACGGUAGGCAGCAGUGGGGAAUAUUGCACAAUGGGCGGAAGCCUGAUGCAGCAACGCCGCGUGCGGGAUGACGGCCUUCGGGUUGUAAACCGCUUUCGCCUGUGACGAAGCGUGAGUGACGGUAAUGGGUAAAGAAGCACCGGCUAACUACGUG
rnacentral:rRNA from 1 species